CCUACGGGACGCAGCAGUGGGGAAUAUUGCACAAUGGGGGAAACCCUGAUGCAGCGACGCCGCGUGAGUGAAGAAGUAUUUCGGUAUGUAAAGCUCUAUCAGCAGGGAAGAAGUUGACGGUACCUGAGUAAGAAGCCCCGGCUAACUACGUGCCAGCAGCCGCGGUAAUACGUAGGGGGCAAGCGUUAAUCGGAAUUACUGGGCGUAAAGCGCGCGUAGGCUGUUGUGUAAGUUGGGGGUGAAAUCCCACGGCUCAACCGUGGAACAGCCCUUGAUACUGCGCGACUUGAAUCCGGGAGAGGGUG
rnacentral:rRNA from 1 species